rnacentral:lncRNA from 1 species
AUUUGUCCUAAAUACUAUUGAAAUUUCCUUUAGGAGGCCUUCUCUGUGAGUAAUACUGGUGUAACAUGACCUGCGUCACACGGUGCCUUGUCCAUUGUGGUUUUUAUUUAAUUUUUUUUUUUUUACAGAAAGGGUUUGAGUAUUUUUUUUGUUUGUUCUACAUCUUUUUUUGUCAACCAGACUCCCUCAGCAUCUUCUAAAAGUCUAAAAGUCUCAAUAGGAAAUGCUCCACAUGUAGACGCGACGCACAAACCCGUCCUGACUGGUUUUACAUCUCUGGAUUAAAUGAAAGUCAGCACGCUGUUAGUUUUAUGUGUGUAAUUCACUGCAUGGGCUUUAUCCCAUGACGUUUUUCUCAUUUUUCUCUUUGCUCACUUAAAGUAGCUCGAGUCACUAAGAGGUCCAGCCGUAGACACUGGGUUGAGUGUCGGCCGGAGAGGAAACCCGAUCCCGAGCUGCUGUCAGUCAGACAAACAGCAGCGAUGGCGUCCAAAGCCGCUGAACAAACACGCAGCGCAGAUGCAGGAGCUUGACUUUCAGGAGCCUCCUCCACUCCUCAGGGGCUGGCGUUUGAGAGGAAACAUGCCCGCAUGUUUAAUAAGCCGGUUUCAAAAUUCCAUUGUUGAGCGGAGGAGGUGGAGCGUGAGGCGGAUAGACACCUUCUGUUUGCCCACACAACAGUGAAAGGUGAAGCCCACGUGCAGCAGAGAGGCUAAACACCAUGCUGAGAGCCCCCCCGGUCAGUCCUCCACAGCCCCUGCAUCCAGACGAUCGAUGAAACGCCUGUGAACGAGAAGGACGUAAAUGUGAAAGCAGUUGAUGCUGGAUUCGGUUUCACCCCGUUUUAGCGCCACUUUUUUCAUUGUCAAAGAAACUCUCUUGCACUGUAUCAACCCAAAUAGUAACUACUUCUGCUUUUUCUGAGCUCUCGCAUCCUGUAUGGGCCCCUGUGGCGCUCAGGGUGGUUGGGAAGUACCUAGUGUUACAACCGUCAUGGUUUCUCAGCUGAAAGCCAAAGUAGACCUUUUGGUUAGCCUUUAACUAAACCUUAUGACCAAAAGAUUGAACUUUUUAAACAUUUUGUAGUUACUGUAAGUUAUUUAAAUUCCAUGCUUUUGUGUCAUAAACCUUAAAAGUAUGUGGAUUUGAGGUUUUUACUUUAACUUUGACCAUAAAUAUUGGCAAUCAUUUCUGGACUUUUAAACAUUUGUUUAAAAUAUUUUUCUUUAAGAAAAAAUUGUGCACUUAUCUUAAUAAAUAUCUCAGAUGCUUUCUGGGUUGGGUUUCUUGAAGCAUGCGAGAUGUGAGUUUCCUCUGCUUGCAGCUGCAGAGGACUAACGCUUUCUGUCACCUAUUACUUGCAGUUUCUGUGAAGUUCAUUUAACUUGACCUUAUGACUGCUACAAGAUUGACUAUUAACCACAACUUCUAGAGCUAAUGCUCUGCUCAUUAGAUGCUCUUUAAAGGAAUUUGAAUUUGGAAAUACAUCAGCUUGUGUUUAAUUGUAAUCUGAAAAUCUUGAGAGGCAACGGUUUGGGAAGAAAUCUGAAUUACCAAUUAAGUUUUUUCAUAGCAUCUGGUUCAGUUGAAUUUUUUCUUUGAUAUCCUUCAGCUACGUGCUCCACUUGUGUUUUAAUAGUUAAGAGACUGUUUCCCUUGACCAUGUUCAAAAUGUUUAACCAAACUUCCAUACAGAAAGUGAAAGUAUCUAAACUGUCCCACAUGCCAUAGCUGUGCAUGUAAAGCUAUAAGUUAAAUGUUUCAAAACAUUUGAGCCUCAUCGUCGUCACACAAAUAAUUUCCUCUUUAACAGUCAUUUGCAGUUUUGUUCAUUUGAACCACUUCUUAAUUUUAGACAAAUACAACCACAGGUCAAAUUAUUUUCUCAAUCACUGAGAUGACAAUAAAACAGUGAAACAGUUUUUAUGGGAUUUAAGGUGUUCUUUUAAGACAAAAAGUUAUAUUUAUCUAAGAAACUAGGUGUUAUGAUUAAUGAAAAGGCUAUUGUGAUUCAGAAAACUUUAAUGAAAUCUAAAACAUAAAGACAUAACCAGCAAUCUAACACUACAACAAAAAUGGCGAGCAAUAUCGGAGCUAUCCAGCCAUACAGUUUUUAGCCAGAUGCCAGCUCGGACGAGGAUCUAUUUGUCUGUGAGUGGGUGCAUCAGAGUGGAGAGGAGCAGGGAGCUUGUGGCCCGUCACAAAUACGACCACUUCCAACUGCAUUCAUUUUCUCUGCUUCUGUUUCAUAACGAUUUUAAUAAACGAAUACUCAGAAAUUGAACUUCAAGCUUAAUUUUCUUUAUAUAUGUCCUGCGUCAUCGGAAAAAUGUCAAAAGAACAUGUUAGGAACACCAAAAAAAACAUUUUCAUCUAUAAACCAUCCCACGCUGGGGGCCGUUCGACCAAAAACAGAAGUAAGAGCAAAUGAAAGUAUUAGGACUUUUAAUAUUUCCUGACCAUGGAUGGAAGUCCCUGCAAAAACACAGAAACAAUAAUAUAGAUUUUGUUGGAAUGUUUACUUUUAGUUGUGUUUUUUUGUUUUGUUUUUGUCAGUGCAAGUUUGCACUUUUUCGGGGGUGACAGAAUCUGCUCUUUCAUAAUUCAGCGCCCUGGAAAUGUCACUAGAUAGCCAAAUAACGACCAUAAUGCAUUGAAUUUUAAUUGCUUGUCAGCUAAAACAAAUGCAUUAAAUUUAUUUAUUUUAUAAAUCCUCCAAGUUUUCAUCAUCAGAACAAAGUGGAUUUAUAAAUAGUCUUCGUUUAGACCAAAGGGUGAUGUCCAGUGACGUGCAGUCAGGAGAGGCAGGUGAGGCUGUGCCUCACCUGUCAUUAUGGGAAGAAAAG